rnacentral:rRNA from 1 species
CAGCAGCCGCGGUAAUACCGGCGGCCCGAGUGGCGGUCACUAUUAUUGGGCUUAAAGCGUCCGUAGCCGGGGUGGGAAGUCCUCCGGGAAAUCUGGCCGCUUAACGGUCAGAAUGCCGGAGGAUACUCCCAGCCUAGGGAGCGGGAGAGGCCGAGGGGAUUCCCGGGGUAGGGGUGAAAUCCUAUAAUCCCGGGAGGACCACCUGUGGCGAAGGCGCUCGGCUGGAACGCGUCCGACGGUGAGGGACGAAGGCCAGGGGAGCAAACCGGAUUAGAUACCCGGGUAGUCCUGGCUGUAAACGAUGCGGACUUUGUGUCGGACAAGCUAUGAGCUUGUCCGGUGCCGGAGGGAAACCGUUAAGUCCGCCGCCUGGGGAGUACGGCCGCAAGGCUGAAACUUAAAGGAAUUGGCGGG